GAUGAACGCUGGCGGCGUGCCUAAUACAUGCAAGUCGAGCGAAUGGAUUAAGAGCUUGCUCUUAUGAAGUUAGCGGCGGACGGGUGAGUAACACGUGGGUAACCUGCCCAUAAGACUGGGAUAACUCCGGGAAACCGGGGCAAAUACCGGAUAACAUUUUGAACCGCAUGGUUCGAAAUUGAAAGGCGGCUUCGGCUGUCAAUAAUGGAUGGACCCGGGUCGCAUUAGCUAGUUGGUGAGGUAACGGCUCACCAAGGCAACGAUGCGUAGCCGACCUGAGAGGUUGAUCGGCCCCACUGGGACUGAGACACGGCCCAGACUCCUACGGGAGGCAGCAGUAGGGAAUCUUCCGCAAUGGACGAAAGUCUGACGGAGCAACGCCGCGUGAGUGAUGAAGGCUUUCGGGUCGUAAAACUCUGUUGUUAGGGAAGAACAAGUGCUAGUUGAAUAAGCUGGCACCUUGACGGUACCUAACCAGAAAGCCACGGCUAACUCCGUGCCAGCCGCCGCAGUAA
rnacentral:rRNA from 1 species